rnacentral:misc_RNA from 1 species
GGCGGCAGCAGCCUUUGAAUCAGCAGCUGGAGGAGUUGCAAUUGCCUCUUCUGUGAUAGAAGCAAAUCCCUCAACAGUGACUCCUGAACCUUCUGCAGAUACACCAGCAAUCCUUAGGAGUGCAUCAAUAUGGUUGAACCACCGGGACAAAUUCACGAAUUCAGAUGAUGGAGCCUUUGGCAGAGCUGCAUAUACAGUAACAUCAUCUUUUGAAGCUUGGUACCCAGUGAUGUAACUGUGAGUAAGAAGGUAGUCAUCAAGCUUCUUGAGGCCGGCCGGUGAUCCAAGAUCAUAGAAUGUGACAGCCAUUGCUAGCUACUCGUGUGGCUUGUUUCUAAAAGCAUGAAUAAAAACAAAUUAUGGAACAAAAACUUAUAAAACCUAGACUUUCCAGUAAAGCCAGAAAUUCACGUGCAAUUUCAUUGUCAAAAUUAUUUAUGCUCAGUUCAGCUAAUGCAUCAACAAAUUACUAAAAACAAUAACAAAGAAAAAAUAAAGAAGAUGCAAUCAAACUUAAUCACUGAACAAGCUAAAAAUGUGAAUAAAUAGCAUCAGCUAGUUGAAUUUAUGAUUUGGAUAGCAUCAAUUUGAUCGCUACCAUUAACAAAUCAUUUCACCGAGUAGGAUAACAAACAACUUUACUCACAAACAAUAUAAAAUCUGAAAUACUCAAAACUCCAAAAACAAUUCAAGUUCCCAAAAAUAGACAUCACAACAGUAGAAAAUCAGAUAACGGGUCUAAGCCAUUACUUCCAACUGCAAAGCCGAUAGCAUUAGCCACGAAUCACGAUAUAUAGAGAUAGGCACAUGAAUUCAAUGGCAUAUAGAUAAGAUAAUCAGUAGAUCUGUGCAUUUACCAGCGAUAGAAAUGCGCAGACACUCGCAGGAAGUAACAGCCUAAGUGAAGUCUAGGGUUUCUAAAUAACCUGAGGAGCAUGAAUUUAUAGAUGUUGAAUUCAUCCCUUGGUUGUAUCGCGGACUAACGGGGCUGUAAUUCAAUAA